GACGAACGCUGGCGGCGUGCCUAAUACAUGCAAGUAGAACGCUGAAGGAGGAGCUUGCUUCUCUGGAUGAGUUGCGAACGGGUGAGUAACGCGUAGGUAACCUGCCUGGUAGCGGGGGAUAACUAUUGGAAACGAUAGCUAAUACCGCAUAAGAGUAGAUGUUGCAUGACAUUUGCUUAAAAGGUGCAAUUGCAUCACUACCAGAUGGACCUGCGUUGUAUUAGCUAGUUGGAGGGGUAACGGCUCACCAAGGCGACGAUACAUAGCCGACCUGAGAGGGUGAUCGGCCACACUGGGACUGAGACACGGCCCAGACUCCUACGGGAGGCAGCAGUAGGGAAUCUUCGGCAAUGGACGGAAGUCUGACCGAGCAACGCCGCGUGAGUGAAGAAGGGUUUCGGAUCGUAAAGCUCUGUUGUAAGAGAAGAACGAGUGUGAGAGUGGAAAGUUCACACUGUGACGGUAUCUUACCAGAAAGGGACGGCUAACUACGUG
rnacentral:rRNA from 1 species